UACAUUUUGGUGUAUGAUGCAUCUAGAAUUUUGAUUUCUUGGGUCUUAGUUUGAUUCUAAGAAGUGUAA
rnacentral:tRNA from 1 species